GAGGCAGCGGCGAAUCUUGCCUAAUUAGGUAAUUAACGCUCUUCGCCUUUGUCUUCGCCUUCCCAUUCUCCUUCUCCUUACCAGCCGCUCCUUUUCCCUUCACCAUUCCCUACAAAAAAAACCCACAUCAUAGCAGUUAGUUAGCACAUAAAUUACAGCAGCAACAUUUUCUUUAGAAAAAACAGAUUUUUUCAUAAGAAUACACCACCAGCACCGGAUUAAAGCAGAUUCUACACCACCAGCACCAGCAGUUCAAUAAGAGUACACCACCAGCACCGGAUUGUACCCAAAGAGAUUUCUACAUGAGUACAUGACUAUGAAUCUACGACACCACCACCAGUUCCAGCAGUUCAAUAAGAGAGCUCUGAACCACUCGUCCAGUACAAGAAGUACUGGUUCAGGCCGAGGCUACUAACCCUCAUCGUCAAGCCGAGGCUACUGGUUCAGGCCGAGGCUCCCGCACAGAGGCUUCUCGCCACGCACAUCAGCACAUGCCGAGAAGGAGGGAACCAGGGACAGGGAGUGAGGGACAUCAGCACAUGCCGAGAAGGCUUGUCGGCGCGAACCAGGGACAGGGAGUGAGGGACAGAGGGAGUGAGGGAAGGAGGCGGCAUAAUUUUUUUUGUAGGAAUAUUUUAGCAAUUCAUUUUCAUUUCAUUUGUACCCCUGGUAAACUAGAAUUUUCGUCGAAGACAGACGGAAUUCUAGGAUUAUCCUUUUGGGCGGUUACCUCUUCCUCCUCGUGGCGCUCGGCGAGGAACCAGGGGAGGCGGGAUCGACGGCGUGGUCGUGUUGCGACCCCGACGUGAGGACGAUCCUCCAGCUUGGACUAACAGGAGACGUCGUCGUCGACUCGUCGCCGUCGGUGAAGGAGAGAGGACGCGGAGGAGCGGACGACGGCGCCGUCGCCUUAGGGUUAGG
rnacentral:lncRNA from 1 species